rnacentral:rRNA from 1 species
AUUGAACGCUGGCGGCAGGCCUAACACAUGCAAGUCGAGCGGAUGAAGGGAGCUUGCUCCUGGCUUCAGCGGCGGACGGGGGAGUAAUGACUAGGAAUCUGCCUGGUAGUGGGGGAUAACGUCCGGAAACGGGCGCUAAUACAGCAUACGUCCUGAGGGAGAAAGGGGGGGAUCUUCGGACCUCACGCUAUCAGAUGAGCCUAGGUCGGAUUAGCUAGUUGGUGGGGUAAAGGCCUACCAAGGCGACGAUCCGUAACUGGUCUGAGAGGAUGAUCAGUCACACUGGAACUGAGACACGGUCCAGACUCCUACGGGAGGCAGCAGUGGGGAAUAUUGGACAAUGGGCGAAAGCCUGAUCCAGCCAUGCCGCGUGUGUGAAGAAGGUCUUCGGAUUGUAAAGCACUUUAAGUUGGGAGGAAGGGCAGUAAGUUAAUACCUUGCUGUUUUGACGUUACCAACAGAAUAAGCACCGGCUAACUUCGUG